AUUGAACGCUGGCGGCAUGCUUUACACAUGCAAGUCGAACGGCAGCGCGGGGCAACCUGGCGGCGAGUGGCGAACGGGUGCGUAAUAUAUCGGAACGUACCCAGAAGUGGGGGAUAACGUAGCGAAAGUUACGCUAAUACCGCAUACGAUCUACGGAUGAAAGUAGGGGACCGCAAGGCCUUAUGCUUUUGGAGCGGCCGAUAUCUGAUUAGCUAGUUGGUGAGGUAAAGGCUCACCGAGGCGACGAUCAGUAGCUGGUCUGAGAGGACGACCAGCCACACUGGAACUGAGACACGGUCCAGACUCCUACGGGAGGCAGCAGUGGGGAAUUUUGGACAAUGGGCGCAAGCCUGAUCCAGCAAUGCCGCGUGAGUGAAGAAGGCCUUCGGGUUGUAAAGCUCUUUUGUCAGGGAAGAAACGGUAGAGGCUAAUAUCCUUUGCUAAUGACGGUACCUGAAGAAUAAGCACCGGCUAACUACGUG
rnacentral:rRNA from 1 species